rnacentral:rRNA from 1 species
CUUAAACUUCUGUGCUUGGUGGAAAAGAAGCGAACAAAGGUAUGCUCGCUUGCUGUUUUGUUUUCUGCUGCAGAUUGUGAUCGCUCGCCAGCUAGGCCCUCUAGAAAAAAGUUGGAGCAACAUUGUAUGAGAACAUAUUGCCGAUCUUCGGGGACAAGGGACGGGACGACCGGUGGGGAGAAUCUUAUUUCAUGUUCAGAGAGCCGCCAUCAUUUUGUCUUCCUGGACAGAACAAAACCUUAA